rnacentral:rRNA from 1 species
GACGAACGCUGGCGGCGUGCUUAACACAUGCAAGUCGAACGGGUCUGCCCUGUUUUUUGCGGGGUGGGUCAGUGGCGAACGGGUGAGUAACACGUGAGUAACCUGCCCCUCACUUCUGGAUAACCGCUUGAAAGGGUGGCUAAUACGGGGUGUUCUGGCUGUGCCGCAUGGUGUGGCUGGGAAAGAUUCACUUUUGUGGUGUUUUGGUGGGGGAUGGGCUCGCGGCCUAUCAGCUUGUUGGUGGGGUGAUGGCCUGUCAAGGCUUUGACGGGUAGCCGGCCUGAGAGGGUUGGCGGUCACACUGGGACUGAGAUACGGCCCAGACUCCUGCGGGAGGCAGCAGUGGGGGGUAUUGCACAAUGGGCGGAAGCCUGAUGCAGCGACGUCGCGUGAGGGAUGGAGGCCUUCGGGUUGUGAACCUCUUUCGCCGGUGAAGAAGGUCCUGCUCUUUGUGGUGGGGUUGACGGUAGCCGGGUUAUGAAGCGCCGGCUAACUACGUG